AUUGAACGCUGGCGGCAUGCCUUACACAUGCCAGUCGAACGGUAACAGGUUAAGCUGACGAGUGGCGAACGGGUGAGUAAUGUAUCGGAACGUGCCCAGUCGUGGGGGAUAACUGCUCGAAAGAGCAGCUAAUACCGCAUACGACCUGAGGGUGAAAGCGGGGGAUCGCAAGACCUCGCGCGAUUGGAGCGGCCGAUAUCAGAUUAGGUAGUUGGUGAGGUAAAGGCUCACCAAGCCGACGAUCUGUAGCUGGUCUGAGAGGACGACCAGCCACACUGGGACUGAGACACGGCCCAGACUCCUACGGGAGGCAGCAGUGGGGAAUUUUGGACAAUGGGCGCAAGCCUGAUCCAGCCAUGCCGCGUGCGGGAAGAAGGCCUUCGGGUUGUAAACCGCUCUUGUCAGGGAAGAAAAGGUUCUGGCUAAUACCUGGGACUCAUGACGGUACCUGAAGAAUAAGCACCGGCUAACUACGUG
rnacentral:rRNA from 1 species